GACGAACGCUGGCGGCGUGCUUAACACAUGCAAGUCGAACGGUGAAAGCGGAGCUUGCUCCGCUGGAUCAGUGGCGAACGGGUGAGUAACACGUGGGCAACCUGCCCCUCACUUCGGGAUAACUCCGGGAAACCGGGGCUAAUACCGGAUAUGACCUCCUAGGGCAUCUUUGGAGGUGGACAGUUUUUGGGUGAGGGAUGGGCCCGCGGCCGAUCAGCUUGUUGGUGGGGGAGUGGCCCACCAAGGCGACGACGGGUAGCCGGCCUGAGAGGGCGACCGGCCACACUGGGACUGAGACACGGCCCAGACUCCUACGGGAGGCAGCAGUGGGGAAUAUUGCGCAAUGGGCGAAAGCCUGACGCAGCAACGCCGCGUGCGGGAUGACGGCCUUCGGGUUGUAAACCGCUUUCAGCAGGGAAGAAGCCGCAAGGUGACGGUACCUGCAGAAGAAGCACCGGCUAACUACGUGCCAGCCGCCGCCGGUAA
rnacentral:rRNA from 1 species